rnacentral:tRNA from 1 species
CAGGGAGACAACAAAAUGUUUAAUAUUAUUAUUUUGUCACCUUAGGUCGAUCGGUAUCUCACUUUCUUAAUUAAUUAAGAAUUUCAUUUCCUAAGUUUUUCUAGGUCACACCCAUUAUUUUUCCUGGGCCAUUAGCUCAGGUGGUUAGAGCGCACCCCUGAUAAGGGUGAGGUCCCUGGUUCAAGUCCAGGAUGGCCCAUAUCUCUAUGUUGGGGGUAUAGCUCAGUUGGUAGAGCGCCUGCUUUGCAAGCAGGAUGUCAGCGGUUCGAGUCCGCUUACCUCCACUGAUUACCACCUCUUGCAUAAUCUGUAUAAAGGAAAUGUUUUGAGUUGUGAUCAAAUUCUGAACGAAUCUAGCUUCCUAAUGAAAUCAUUAAGAUGCUGGACUCAUUGAAUUAAUUUCAUUGUUUUCAGAGAACCUUGACAACUGCAUAGAUUAUUUUUAAAGACAAUAAGCAUCUUUAAUGAUGCAGAUUUAUUAUUUGUGCGAAUGCAUUAAUAACAAUUCUAUUAAGCUGAUGCUUCAAUUUUGAAGUUAUU